rfam:Camelus ferus unplaced genomic scaffold scaffold812, whole genome shotgun sequence.
GAGGGUAUAGCUCAAGUGGUAGAGUGUCAUGCUUAGCAUGCACAGGGUCUUGGGUUCAAUCCCCAGUACCUCCU